AUUAAUAUUAACAGGCUUAAAAGGAGUAGCUAAAAGGCCACCAAAACAGACAAAAAAGAAAAUCACAACUGUCCAAUAUAAAAGAAAAUUAAAAACUACGCCUAGAAAGUAACGAAACAUCAAUAAGCAAAAAAUGCGUGAGCCUGCAACAAAACUUUUCAAUCUCCAUUAUCAGCCACAGCAGGGCUCCAUUUCCUUCGUAUUAUCGAUCAGAGACCCAGAGCCAGCAACGCUUUGCAAACAAUAUUAGAGAUUCAAUGAACCUUCUCUAACUCAAAGCGAACAUAUGGAACUUAGGUCCGUUGGCACCAUCGUAACCAGUCUUCCUCCACCACCAGUCGCACAGUCUCCGGUAUUCCAUUAACCCAGGCCCCACACACUUUCCGAUGUCGACUUUCCACUGCCAAAAUAUGGGCUACAGCGUUAAGCGGACGGUUCACAAACUUGUAAGAGACUUCAUCAAAGCCCUGGCGCAAUCUAUGAAUAUUAUGAACAAUCGACCUAAUAAUCGAUCUAUCUUCCUCAUUUUUAAUCAGUUUUUUAAUGACUGUCAGGGAGUCCCCUUCCACAAUCAACCGUUGAAAGCCCUUCAAUUUUGCGAGGAUCAGCGCUCUUUCACAAGCUCGUGCUUCCGCCACGAAUGCGUCAUCCACACCUUCCACCAGAUAAGUAACUGCUUCUAUAACUUCCCCUCUGUGAUUUCUGGCUAAGAUUGCUAUUGUCGCAAAAUUAUUUCCUGAAAUAUACGACGCAUCAAAAUUAAUUUUAAUAAAACCAUAGUCAGGAGGCCUCCAGACUUCAUUUCUCAUAAGAGCAGUAGAAUCACAUAGAUUCUCACGAACAAGCCAUGGAUCUCGCUCAUAGCCCCUGAUAAAUCCCAAUAGUUGUGGCAUAGAAAGCUUAAUCCCCUCAUGAACCAACUUAUUUCUAUGAAACCAGAAACACCAAAGAGUUAAAGCAAUAAACCUUUUUUUCGACCUUCUGCUUCAAGAUAUGUUUUAACAAAAUUAGCCUUAUAAUCCAGGGAAUCGUCCAAAGGGGGAAUUUGAACUUGCAACGAUGUCCAUAUAUUUCGAAGGACCCUACAAGACCCCAACAAAUGCGCUGUGGUUUCUAGAUCUUCCUUACACAGUGGGCAUACAGCCUCCUCACAUAGUGUUCGGCGUGCCAAGUUCCCAUAGUGUGGCACCAUGUUAUUGAACAAUCUCCAAACAUGUAUUUUUAUUUUCUCUGGAAUAUGCAAAGCCCAGAUAUCCAUGUAAAAACUUUUGUAUUAUUCAUUUGUAGAGGACAUGUGUAGAUUGCUCUGUAAAUAAUCUGUAAUAAGAACUCGAUACCCACUCCUGACAGUAUACUCACCUGAGCCUUCAUACUUCCAUACCAACAUAUUCUCUGGUCGGCUUUCAGAGAUGGGAAUGUCAAAGAUUCGAUUAGCAGUGUUAUCAUCCACUAGAUUGUGAAUCAACUCUCUAUUCCAGGUACUGUCUUCUUCAUUCAUUAACUAAUUCACUGUUGACCAAGGAGGCUUAAUUUCAAUAACUGGGAUUCUGUUAUUCUCUCUUCCAGGCAGCCAGGGGUCAUUCCAAAUGUUGAUACUUGCACCAUUUCCUACACGCCACAAGAUUCCAUCACUGAUCAGGUCCCGCGCACUACAAAUACUUCUCCAAGUAAAUGAAGGGUAAGAACCAACCUUUGCUGUUAGUAUAGUGGAAAGAGGGAAAUAACGGGCUUUUAAAACCUUGGCUAAUAAACAAUGGGGCUAGGUUAAAAUACGCCACACCUGCUUCGUUAAAAGGGCCUUAUUAAACAAGAAUAAAUUUUUAAACCCCAGCUCUCUAAAACUUUUCGGUUUAUACAGAACAUCCCACGAACUCCAAUGAAUCCCCUUCGAUGUUUUAUUAUUCGUCCACCAGAAUCGAUUCAUUAUUCCUUCCAAUGUUUUACAUAAUGACUUUGGCAAUAAAAAACACUGCAUAGCAUAAAUUGAAGUUGACUGCAAAACUGAUUUAAUGAAAACCUCCUUAUCCCCCAUUGAAAGAUAACGCAUACUCCACCCCUCCACCCAUUUUCUGAAUCGGUCCACAAAGUUAGCAAAAGCCCACUUUUUCCUCCUACCCACCAUCAUAGGCAAACCGAGAUACUUUUCAGGAUUUGAGGCCAGACGUACCCUUAAUAAAUUAACAAUAUCCUUCUGAACACUAGAGACGACAUUUGUAGCGAAAUAAAUGAGGGAUUUUUCAAAAUUCACUCUCUGCCCCGAGACCGUCUCAUAUUCAUGGAUAAUAGCCCGAACCACUUCAGCUCCUUCACAGGAGGCAUCACCAAAAAGAAUGCAAUCAUCUGCAAAAAAUAAGUGGUUGACCGAAAACUUCUCUCUACCUAUAGGUGCCCCCAUCAUCAUCCAUUUAGUUUUAGCUUCCUGAAUGAGCAGCGAAAACCCUUCAGCACAAAUCAAGAAUAAAUAAGGACUAAGAGGGUCUCCUUGUCUGAGUCCUCUCGAUGGUGUGAACCAGUCCCCGCUAGCUCCAUUAAUACUAAUAGAGUACGUGACAGAGCAUACACAACGCAUGACAAGAACGAUCCAAUCCUCAUGAAAACCCAG
rnacentral:lncRNA from 1 species